rnacentral:lncRNA from 1 species
AAAAUCAGCUUAACAAAGUGAACUAGGCCCAGAAGGAGCAGUCAGUUACUCCUCAUACUAGUUUGUACGUUGUUUUAACUUUGAACUUGGUUUCUAUACUUUGCACUCUGGAGAUAUCAGCUUGUUUACUGGGGAGUGUGAAGUUUAAAAGAAAACGGUACAUCUUGCUCAAAGAAAAAGAACAAUAAUGGAUGUGUAAGACAGCAGACCUCUUUGAGAUAACAUCUCACUCUGUGAAUGAUUUCUCCCACCACUGGAUCUCUCUGCACGGAAUGUGUAAUCUAUGCUGCUGGAUUAAUAGUAGGCACUGCUGUCACAGCAGCCUCUUAACCCGAAGUAAUUCCUCUAUUUUGGUUUUUGACAUUGAGUUUCUCUUUAAAAAGAAGCUGAACAGUUGGGCCUUCUGAAAGCAUUCUGAGGAACUGGGCUGAUCCAAACACAACCCGGGUCAGAAUGACCGGAAUAAACCAUAUUGAAUACAGUGUGGUUGAGGGACUCCCUUUAAGAAAGCCAGUGUGUUAACUGAAGACAGAAUGGUUCUGUGAACCCUUCUCUUUGCCUGUUAAGCCAAGUGGUAAAGUAAUCCAAAAGCCACAGAACUAUUGCACCCAAGAGUCUGAGUUUGAUCUCUGCUGGGCUUUCUUAACUAAACUGGGUCAAAGAUUUGGGCUGGAUCUGGAUGGAUUACUACUAUAAAAGGAAGUCUGAGCUGAAGUCUUUCCAGUGGCAUGUGGUGACUAUCAUCCUCAUCCAUGGAGACUCUUUUGGCCUGAAUCCAUAUCUUAAGGGACAGGCCAGCCAGCAGGGGAUCUACUCACAACACAGCGUCAUGCGCCUUCAACGCCUCCACCCUGUGGACCGACCUUCCAACACAUGGACCUGUGCUGGUACCCACACCACAGCGAUGGGUACAUCUUCUGCUUAAACAGAAGAAGCUUCCUUUUGAGAAGACAAUCCUGUCUGCUUUAUUUUAAUGUUUCAUGUCAAACUGCUUUUAGGGAGAAAAAAGCUACUGUCUAUCAAAUUUUAAACCUCCAAAUUCAUAGAACCCCUUGAAAUAUAUUAACAAAGCAUUGUCACAUAGCAGAUUUCUCAGAUUAGGUGUAAUUAACAUAUCAAUUAUUAUGUAAAUGAUGCCUCUGCCUUGCUAGAAAAAUAAAUUCUAGGACAAUUUAAUUCUUAAAUAGGUUGAAUGAUCUUUUUGCUAUUAAUGACCACUUAAUUUUUAAAUUAUUUAUACUCUUUUUACACUACGUCCUUAACAAUCCAAGCAGUAGAGUAUAUGAAGCACUUUGGAAGAUAUAAAUCA